rnacentral:lncRNA from 14 species
GAACUUUGUAAGUGACUUGUCCACAGCACACUAUUUGUAAAAGAAACUCUAUUAUUUUCCCUUUUGGUUUUAAGUCUAUGAAACCAUGUUUGCCAAGAGAGAAGACUGGCAAGGAUUAGAAAGAAGUGAGCUGCUGAAGUACUUCAACGACUGUGGUCAUUUCCCCACGCAGAAGCAGAUCGAUGAGCUCUGGGACCUGUUCCACAGAUAUAGUGAAGGAAAAUAUUCUGAAGUAAUCAGAAAGUCCAGUGCUAUUGAACUAUUAUUUACACUCUAUCCUCCUCAAGGUGCCAGAGUGAACGCUGGCACAAGACUGCGGUCCACGUGGCUGAGACCCUUGGUGGAUGGGGAAGAAGGCUAUAAGUACAUAGUGACUGGACAUCCAAUACUCAAGAGAGCUAACAUCCGGACUGUUGGGAAGUUGGUGGCUAGAUCCAUAAGAGAAAGAAAAAUGAGACAAUUUUAUAAAUCAUGAGAACUGGAAUAAAAUUUUCAACACAGUGCUUCAUUAAAUAGUUGAACUUACCUCCUCAGAAAAGCAUAUUAGUAAUGAACGCAGAAUGACUUGCUAUCAACAGGAUAAAAGGAGGAAUCUUUGCAUAUGCGAAAGGGGCUGUUGACAAGUUAGUUCCUCAUUUCUAAGUAAGUUUGGAUGAGCGGUCUUUAUCGUCCUCAUUAAACAUCUGCUAAUCAUGAUGACGUGAAGCUGUGCAGUGUCACUUAUUAAUUCUCAUUGGACUGAAAUCUAUUUUGCUCCGCUGCUAACGAAGGUUACAAACUUGAGAAUUCUUAGCUUCCAUUUUUACUCUUUCAAAAUUGUAUCGGUGUGGUAUUUUGCUGAAACAACACAUUUCAAAUAGUCUGUCAGAAUGUGUCUCAUCACUUAAGUCUUUUGAAUUGUUUCUGAAAACGUGUCUAGAUCACAGACCACUUUUUUGUUUGUUUGUUUGUUUGUUUCUCUCCUUGAC